UACGUAGGGUCCGAGCGUUGUCCGGAAUUAUUGGGCGUAAAGGGCUCGUAGGCGGUUUGUCGCGUCUGCUGUGAAAACUCGGGGCUUAACCCCGGGCCUGCAGUGGGUACGGGCAGACUAGAGUGCGGUAGGGGAGACUGGAAUUCCUGGUGUAGCGGUGAAAUGCGCAGAUAUCAGGAGGAACACCAACGGCGAAGGCAGCUCUCUGGGACGUUACUGACGCUAAGGCGCGAAAGCGUGGGGAGCGAACAGG
rnacentral:rRNA from 1 species